GUGGGGAAUAUUGGGCAAUGGAGGCAACUCUGACCCAGCAACGCCGCGUGAGCGAUGAAGGUCUUCGGAUUGUAAAGCUCUGUCGCAGGGGACGAAGUAUGACGGUACCCUGUAAGAAAGCCCCGGCAAACUACGUGCCAGCAGCCGCGGUAAUACGUAGGGGGCUAGCGUUGUCCGGAAUUACUGGGCGUAAAGGGAGUGUAGACGGCUUGUCAAGUUAAGUGUGAAAGCCUGCGGCUUAACCGCAGAAUUGCACUUAAAACUGACUCGCUAGAGUGCAGGAGAGGUGAGUGGAAUUCCUAGUGUAGCGGUGGAAUGCGUAGAUAUUAGGAGGAACACCAGAGGCGAAGGCGGCUCACUGGACUGUAACUGACGUUGAGGCUCGAAAGCGUGGGGAGCAAACAGGA
rnacentral:rRNA from 1 species